AUGGCCGCAACCAAUGCAAACACACAAUUGAUCAUGCAAAUUCUUCAAGAGCGCAAUCAAGGCAACCAAGGGAAUCAAGGCAGCAAUCAGAAUCACUUUGCUACACUCAACCAGUUCCUUGCUAACGGGCCAAAGACUUUCAGCAAUUGUGUUGAGGCAACCGAUGCUGAUGAUUGGCUAGUGGAUCUGUGCAAGCAUUUCGAGUGCAGUAAUGUCAGGCCUGAGGACUUUGUUAAGUUCGCUUCCUUCCAACUCAAAGAUCAAGCUGCAGAAUGGUUCCAGCAGUAUAAGGAUUCCAGAGGUGGACGUGUUAUCACUUGGGAUGAUUUCCUUCGAGAUUUUCGAGCUCAUCAUAUUCCCCAGAGCGUGGUUGAAAGUAAGCGUGAGGAAUUCCGCAACCUGAAGCAAGGCUCUUUGUCUGUCUAUGACUACAACAAGUUGUUUCAGAAGCUCGCCCGCUUUGCCAAGCAAGACGUGCUUGAUGAGAAGAGCAUGAUAUACCAGUUCAGGGGUGGUCUCAGAGAAGAAAUUCAGCUAGCUCUUGUUCUCUUCGAGCCCUUGAGAUACGAUGAGUUCUACAACAUGGCACUGAAGCAAGAGGCUGCUCAGUUGAGGUGUCAUGCUUCCAAGAAGCGAGUCAGAGAUGCUACUCCUUCUUCCUCUACUCAAGUGGCCAAGCAGCAGAAGUAUUGGCUUCCUCCUCCUCUGUUCCGUCAGCCGUAUCAGCAGAAGAGCAAAGGUGGCAGUGGUUCUUUCCAGCCACCCAACCCUGGCUUCCAGAACAAGACUUCGUCUCAAGCUCCAAAAUCGAGUGCUCCAUAUCACCGUCCGCUUUCAUAG
rnacentral:rRNA from 1 species